rnacentral:miRNA from 1 species
AACCGCGUACUUGCCUACUAUA